rnacentral:lncRNA from 1 species
ACUGUCAUGUGAACUAAUGCGUGUGAAAGAGAAACCACAUUGACAGCAAUUGGAGUACAUUAAACAAAGAUGGGCGUCAAGACAAAAUAUCAGCAGCAGCAGCAGCACAUGAGCCCCACAGUGGCAUAAAAGGAGACUUGAGAUCUGUUGUGAUAUCAGAUGACCAGAGGAUGAAUGAACUGAGACGAAUUCGCCAGAACAAUAGGAAAAAGGUGUCUGCCGGAACAAGAGAUGUGUUAAAGCAAAAGUGAAAAAUACAAUGCUUGAAGAUGAAGAUUAAGUAAAUAGUACGACAAACUAUUUGUAUCGACCAAGGUAAGUAAGAGUACCUGACAUCAACCAGAAUAAGGAUACUUAUUAGAUUAAGCGUGUGAAUGUUAAAAAUAUUCUUAGUCCAAACAGAUUGAAAACGUUGUUCAUGUAGUUUCCUUUAUGUACAUGCUAUUUUAUCCGAAUUUGUACGAGCCCAACACAAUAUACGAGAACAUACUACAAGACCAAAGUUUGAGACAUUAGGAUUCACUUCACAAUUUGAAGAAACUAUACUUUGGCAAAUCUAUUUGACGCCACCACAAUAGACAGGAACAUAC